UCUCUCUCUCUCUCUCUUCACUAUUAAAUCAAAGAAGAAAACAAUAGUUUGUUUUCUUCAAGCUUGAAAUUUGAAUCACCGACAUAUAGCAACUCCCCAAAUCACCACAAUUGUUGCUCUUUAUCUCUUUCUCUGUAAACAUCACCGCCAUAAAAGUUCUGGUAAACUCAAUCUAGGGUUCAAACGGCUGACGGAGGCUGACCAAACAAGGGUUCUAACUACUAAUUUAUCUCCACACGUAUGUUCUUCAGAUUCAUUCAUGUAUAUCAUGGGGACUCACGACCUGAUUUAUUUCUACACGUUUGGUUUGCACCAAAUUAGUGUUACCAUUGUGGGAAUGUGGCUUCAAUAUUGAGCUUCAACGAGAAAAUGGGCGAAUUACAUAAGGAUAGCAGGUAGAAGAGCAACAAAUUGCGCCGCCAUCCCCUUAUAGUCAACUUCUAAAUGAUGGUGUUUUUGUUUGGGAUUGAGGAAUGAUCGACUUCAAUGAGGUGCAUUUGUGUAGAAGUUUGUAAAUUUGGACAUGUGUGUAUGAAAAUUGCAACAGGAGCCCAAGCUGAGAGUUUAUUUGCUUAUUUAGCAGCCAUGACGACAAGAUCAAAACUAGCACGAAAAGAUUUGGAUACGGCUGCACAAUCUGGUCACCCUGGUGUGUCCGCUAAUGAAGUUGAUGUGUGGCCCAUGAAGCAACCAAUGCUACUGACUAUAAGAAGAGGAUGAAGACAUGGCCAUUAAACCUGAAGAUGUAUCAUGUGCACAUACAAUCUGUAAGAAGAAAGACACAAUGAGCUGAAUAAAUGAACAACGUUGUCACUGAAUUCUACUUCCAUUAGCGGAUUUGGUAACGACCACCAAGCAGGCAAACUUAGCUAGCAAACCAUUCACUAAAAAAACCCUUAAGGCCACUUUUGAGGUACUUCGCCAUAGUAUUUACAAUGUUCAUUCAAGUUGAACUUGAUUCUGAUGAAGAUCCAGGUGAGUAUCUUGCAUAUGGUAUAUGAGUAACUAUUGAAUAGGUGGUUUGAUAAACUAAAUCUUGUAAGCUACUUUUGUACAAAGGUGUCAACUUGCUGGUAAAAAUGAAUUGACUUUUAAUUUUAUUGUC
rnacentral:lncRNA from 1 species